UACAGAGGUCUCAAGCGUUGUUCGGAUUCAUUGGGCGUAAAGGGUGCGUAGGCGGCGCGGUAAGUCGGGUGUGAAAUCUUGGAGCUUAACUCCGAAACUGCAUUCGAUACUGCCGUGCUUGAGGACUGGAGAGGAGACUGGAAUUUACGGUGUAGCGGUGAAAUGCGUAGAUAUCGUAAGGAAGACCAGUGGCGAAGGCGGGUCUCUGGACAGUUCCUGACGCUGAGGCAACGAAGGCCCAGGGGGAGCAAACGGG
rnacentral:rRNA from 1 species